UUCACAAAGCUCCUGUGGCCUUUAGUGAAAUGUCCUUCACCUGCGAGAGUGAUUGGGGGAAAGAUGGGGUUAAGUUCAGUACUGUCAAUGCUAUAUUGUACCCUAUUGACACUGUCUAGAAUUGGCAACGAUUUUAAGCCAGCUCGGUGAUGUUGUCCCCUCGGCCCUUGGCUGCGCCGGUCUGGGAAUCCAAGAUGGCCGCCCAGUCUCCUCUUUUAAUCUCCAGCCAACCACCUGAAGGAAGAGGUCAAUGCUCUCUGGUACGUCUUCUAUGGUCUCCUCUUUGACCAGCAGCAGAUCAGGCUUCCCAUCCUCCAUGUCUACUGACUGUAAGAGAUACAGAGUGAGAGGAUGUUGGAUCAAGAAAUCUGAUAUGAGCACCCUGCUAUGGAGCAUCUUCUGGUUGGGCAAUGAGAGUUUGCUAUGAGCACUAUACAAACAUGUUAGGUGAUUUGAUACUAUGCAAACAUGUAAGUUGACUUUAAUACUUGAUAGUCUUUAAUGGUUUAAUAAAUCAAAACAUGGUCCCACACUUCAGACAAAAUUAAUCAAGACCACGGCCCGCAUCCACAAAGUGUCUCAGAGUAAAAGUUAUCCUACUCUUAUGGGUAAAAAUAAAAGCUAUGCUUGAAUAAUCUUUAGUCAUAAGAGUCUUACCUAGUCUACAGAUAUUUAGGAGAACUCAUGAGCUGUUCUAACUAGUUGAGUUACCAGCAAGUGUCUAGAUAAUAGAAAAGGGCAGCGAGUCAGUGGUUCCUGGACCAUAGGCGAUUAUUUUGGAGUUGUUGAAAGAAUGUGUUGAUAUUUCUAUAUGAUCAAUCCAUAAUUAAUCUAGACCUACCUGCAACAGUAUCUCUUGCGCUUUUGACAAUCAUUUCACAUGGUAUGCCUAAAUUGUUUUAACCACUAGGCUAAUAAAUAAUCCCAAUUUUCUUUUGAUUAUGUCAAUAACCUACAUUGUUAUUUCACGUUGUCCCUUUGGGGCGCAACAUCAUCUUGAUAGACAUUCAGUCGACCUUUAAAAAAAUAAGACUUAAAUUGGGUAUGCCUUUAGGUUUGGAAAUUGAAAGCAUCUAGAUAAUGUUGCACAAAAUGUUUGAAAGGUCUAUAAUUUUCACAUGAUAAGGCCUACAUUAACUUUGAUUAUGUUUGACGAAAAUGAUAGACUAUUCAAACGUUUUAUGCAACAUUAUCGGCAAGUGAGUUGAUACUGUGCCAAAGCGAUUUAGAGUUGUUAAACGGUAGUGACGAGUGUGUUGUUAUAACGGUAAUAGCCUAUUAACAUAAUUCCUCUUUUAACAACCAUCAGAAUUGGUUAAAAAAAGGUUAUGCAUGCCAAAAUAUUACGCAAGAAUUAAGUUUAGGCAAAGUAAUUGUAUUCGGUGAAAAUGAUAUUAAACAUUUUACCAUUGCAACAUUUGAUGGGUGUCUGAAGCAUUCUAUAGUCCAAAACUGGUAAUGCCUCAUCGCGAUGAGUUAUUCCCCAUAAUUCUAAUUCUUAUGACCAAAAAGACCUUCUGGAUAUCAGAACGGCGAUCACUAACCUCGAUUUGGAUGAAUAUUUCUACUUCACCGAGUCAGAGGAGCAGGACAUACUGCUCACCCCAGACCAGGCCCUAAUCCCAGAGACUCGGAAAAUAAAUAGACUGUGCAAGAGUGGCCAACAUGCAGGCACCCUAACAAACUACGUCGGCGAGUACAUAAACCACCUCUACCCUCCAUUCUAUUGGUGAACGUACAAUCACUGGAAAACAAACUGGGCGAGCUCCGUUCGAGACUACCCUAUCAACGGCACUUGAAGAACUGUAAUAACCCAUGGUUCUCGGAGUCUUGGCUGAACAAGACCAUGGAUAAUAUACAUCUGGCUGGUUUUUCCAUGCAGCAGUAGGACAGAACGGCAGCAUCCGGUAAGCUCAAGGGGGAGGUGUAUGUCUCUUUGUUAACAACAGCUGAUGCUGUCUCUAAAAUUAAGGUCUCGAGGUUCUGCUUGCUUAAAUUAGAAUAUCUCAUGGUAAGCUGUAGACCAUACUAUUUACCAAGAGAGUUUUCAUCUAUAUUUUUUGUAGCUGUCUAUUUACCACAACAAACAGAUGGGACUAAGACCCCACUUAACGAGCUGUAUAGGGCCAUAAGCAAACAAGAAAAUUCACAAGGCCGCAGGGCCAGAUGGAUUACCAGACCUCUCCCUGACCCAGUCUGUAAUACCUACAUGUUUAAAGCAGACCACCAUAGUCCCUGUGCCCAAGAACACAGAGGUAACCAGUCUAAAUGACUAUCGCCUCGUAACACUCGCAUAUGUAGCAAUGAAAUGCUUUGAAAACAUCACACCAGACACCCUGGACUAACUCCAAUUCGCAUACAGACCCAACAGAUCCACAGAUGAAGCAAUCUCUUUCACUCCACACUGCCCU